rnacentral:lncRNA from 1 species
CCGCCCCACAUCGACCAGCUGGACGGGGUGGACGACGGGGAGCGGGGACGGCGCGGGGACGGCGAGGACCUGCCCUCCGACAUCGUGGAGUUCGUGCUGCGCAACAUGGCGGGCAGCAUGGCCAAGGGCGGCGCGACGCCCGGCGCCAACGGGGACAACGGCGCCUGGGGGGCGGGGGGGGACGGGCGGCGGCAGCAGCUCCUCAACGCCAGGGGGACGCGGGACGGGCGCGCCUGGCACCACGGGGACGGCACCCGGGGUCACGGAGGUGGCACCUGGGGAAGCGUCACCCGCGGAGAUGGCGCCCACCACCACGGAGAUGGCGCCCAUGGAGAUGGCGCCCAUGGAGAUGGCGCCCACCACCAUGGAGGUGGCACCUGGGGAAGCGUCGCCCAUGGAGAUGUCACCCAUCACCAUGGAGAUGGCACCCACCACCAUGGAGAUGGCACCCACGGAGGUGGCACCUGGGGAAGUGUUGCCCAUGGGGAUGUCACCCACCACCAUGGAGGUGGCACCCAGAGCCAUGGAGAUGGCACCCACCACCAUGGAGAUGGCACCCACGGAGAUGUCACCCACAACCAUGGAGAUGUCACCCAUGGAGAUGUCACCCAGAGCCAUGGAGGUGUCGCCCAUGGAGAUGUCACCUGUAACCAUGGAGACGUCACCCGUGGAGAUGUCACCCGCAACCGUGGAGGUGUCACCCAUGGACAUGUCACCUGGGGAAGUGUCACCCACGGAGAUGCCACCCAUGGAGAUGUCACCCACAGAGAUGUCACCCAGAGCCAUGGAGGUGUCGCCCA